GAAGCCCUUCCAGCCAUGGGAACCCAAAGCCACCACGCUGUGUUCCGGAUCCCAUACAAACCCCGCUGUCCCCCAACCCCUCAGCUCAGCCCCACGCACACAGAGUGGCUGUUUGCUCCAGCUUUAUCUCCAAGCGGAGGGAUGAGAAAGGCAGAGAGGGAAGGGAUGAGAUAAUGACCCAGAUCUGCUCCUGCAAACUGCCACAGAGCCCAUUAGGAGAGGGCAAACGCAGCUCGGGAAUCCAGGACUUUCCGCUGGAGGUGAUUACGGAGAGGAACUUAACGCGGCCGGGCGGAGGGGGAGAGCGUUUUGCCGGCGGAGCGGAGCAGGAACAAAAGCCACGGGAGCGGUGCUGAAUAGGCAGACACAAAGAGCCUCUGACCCGGGAGGAGAAAUACGCCUUGCAGAGAAAAUCCUCCCCAGCGCCCCGAGGUGAGCUUUUGGCAGCAGGGAAUUAAAAAUAGCUGCUGUGGCUCCAAGUCGGAGGCAGCACUCCUUCCCUAAUGAGUAUAAUUAGCAGAGUGCGGAUGGAAGCGUGGCACCCCGGCUGCUCCCCGUAUCGCUCAGUGCCUCCAAGUGCCACUCAGUGACAUCUCCUCCACGCACACCAGGGAAGUGGCGUUUUCCCACAUCCAGGAGAUGUGCCUGAGCUCUUCCUCUGUCUCCACGUCAAAAUAAAGAGGUCCCAAUGGGACGAAUCCCCAGAAGCACAUCCUGAGGCUUCUGGGUCAUGCAGGAGCAAAAAGUCGGAUCUGGGACUUUUUUUCCCGCUCGCUGCUAUCCGUUCCCUCGAGCACUCAUAAAUCCUGGCUGUACCAAUGGGGGCUCAGGGGGGGUAGGCAGGCUGCAGGCCCGCAGUGCCCCACAAAUCCUCCUCCUACGUCUGUGUCCAAGCAUCAACAAGCAGAGCAUCACCUCACCAUCCCCUGCUGCUCUGCCGCCCUCCCAUGCGGACAGGCAUGGCAACAAGGCCACCUCUCCGCUCUCUGCCCCAUCGGCCUCCCCAGAGAUCUGAAUUCUGCUUAAGCCCUGAUUUCAGCCACAGGUGAGCGCAGCACUGAGGACGCAGCACGGUCCACCCAGAGCAUCCCUCCCUGAGCACGGCGCAGAAGAAACCCCUCUGAGAGCGCUGCACUGGGGAUGCGUUGGGCAGCUCAUUAGCUGCUGGGGUUAACGAGCUGCUCGGUGGGUUCCCUGCAGCCAGGGCUGGGCACGGGGUGAGCUGCGGGUGCAUCAGGUCGGGAGCGGCUGCACCUCUCGCAGCAUCUGCUCAGCUCUGACACGGUGCUCACUUGGGCUUUUUUUUUUUUUUAAUUGUCUUGAUGUCCCUCAUUUGCAUAAUCCCCACAAUGCAGCGCAGCAGGCCUUUUGCUCUGAGCUAAUAAAUAGAUGACAAAAAUAAAUGUGUCAUGUAAGAUUUGCUUCCAUUUCUUUCCCCCUUUGUGAGUGAGCUAUCACCAAGAAAUGAUGCUGGCGGAGCUGAUCUCCCAGGAGCUGUCAGCCUGGACUCAAAGCUUGCUUUGCCCAUGGAACACAACUUGGCCAGAUGUUAGAGUGAGAUGUGCAAGCUGAGAGCUGCAGCGGGAGGAGAUGUCCUCACUCCUCAGCCCCUCUGCAUUGCUCCCUAUAGAGAUGGCCCUGCAAAAUCAGCCCCAGGGCAGCGGGCAAAGGGCAUUCAGACAUCCAUUGCUGUGGGUUGCAGCGUGUCCAUGUCCAGGCAGGUGCUGGCAGUGCUCUAUUUUCUGUGAUUUUCUUCAAAAUCAGCUGUCGGUGCUUGCAGUGGAGAUGGCACCAUUUAGGAAAUGAGCUCCCUGAGCCAAGAAGAAGAGUGAUUGCUCAGCUGUGAGCAUCCAAGGGGACACCUGAGGCUGGAACAGCACCACGUGUUUCCUACAGGAUGAUUCCUCCUGCAAGGCUGUAUUUCUCACUUCGAGGAACUUGGCUGGACGGCGCCCAGGGAAGCAAGGGGAACAAAGACAAAGUCCUAAAGGAGAGCCUGCAAUCCAUCCCCAGGGCUCUGCAUGGCUGCAUGUCCUCGGGGCUGGGAUCAGGGAUGAACCACCUUACCCAUCUCCAUGCCGUGCAGGAUGUGGAUGUGAGCAGAGAGCAGCAGGACGCAUUGGGUUCCACAAGGUUUAGGAGCUGGUUACUUUGCGCCGGGUGCUGGCAGCUCUGGAGAUCAUCACUUGGGCCAUCUUUUCUCCUCCCCACAGCCCUGUGAGUCAGGAGGAUUCUCAGCUCUUAUAUAAAAGCAUCUCCAACUGUGUUGUUUGUGCCUGAAAACGCGAAUCCUAACAGGUAGGAGCUAGAAGAGAAAUAAAGACCUGAUAAUAUACGAGCUUCCUUUAUUUUUUUUCUUUUCUUUUAGAGCCCUGGCCUGCUUUAAAUCAC
ensembl:lncRNA